UACGGAGGGUGCAAGCGUUAUCCGGAUUCACUGGGUUUAAAGGGUGCGUAGGAGGGCAGGUAAGUCAGUGGUGAAAUCUCCAAGCUUAACUUGGAAACUGCCGUUGAUACUAUCUGUCUUGAAUACCGUGGAGGUGAGCGGAAUAUGUCAUGUAGCGGUGAAAUGCUUAGAUAUGACAUAGAACACCAACUGCGAAGGCAGCUCGCUACACGAAUAUUGACUCUGAGGCACGAAAGCGUGGGGAUCAAACAGG
rnacentral:rRNA from 1 species